rfam:Glycine soja cultivar W05 scaffold2560_8, whole genome shotgun sequence.
AAUGGACAGGACAAAGGAUUGUGAUCCCGACAGGGUAAGCUAACUCCAAAAACACGUCCUUAGUUCAGAUUGUAGGCUACAACUCACUUGCAUGAAG